ACCUAGUAGUACGGAAUAGCCAUUAGAAAUGGAGGGUAAUACUGUAUAAUCCCCGAGGGGGAAAGAUUUAUCGCUAUUAGAUGAGCCUACGUUAGAUUAGCUAGUUGGUGAGGUAAUGGCUUACCAAGGCUAUGAUCUAUAGCUGGUCUGAGAGGACGAUCAGCCACACUGGAACUGAGAUACGGACCAGACUCCUACGGGAGGCAGCAGUGGGGAAUAUUGGACAAUGGGCGAAAGCCUGAUCCAGCUAUGCCGCGUGAGCGAAGAAGGCCUUCGGGUUGUAAAACUCUUUCAAUAGGGAAGA
rnacentral:rRNA from 1 species